AUUGUACUCCCUCCGUCUCGUAUUAAGUGACUCAAAUUUGUCCAAAUAUGGAUGUAUAUAUAUGCCUAAAAGGCAUCUAGAUACAUGUAAUAGAAAGUCACUUAUUAUGAGACGGAGGGAGUAUGUA
rfam:Brachypodium distachyon strain Bd21 chromosome 1, whole genome shotgun sequence.